GAUCCAACAAUUUCUUGGUCCCAUGUGUCAUUCUCGUUUCGGCAUGAAAAGGAUGUCCGGUAGAGCAGUGUUGCUCUUUGCGUGUCUGGAGGCUUUUAUGCCUUUCUCUCUGCCCCCUUUCUGUACAAGACGCAGAACAAGCCGCUCGUCCUCGAUCUCGUUUCAACUUCAUCGAGCUCAGCUGUUGGGAUGGUAGGACCACGACGCCGAACGGUCUCCUUCCCACCGCUGUUUCGUUCCCCAUGGAAGUAGUAUUUGGUUGAUGUGUGCUGUUUUUUUACGGAUUUGUUCUCCUGUUCUUUGUGUACUGAUUUUGUGGCUUCUUCGCAGUCAGCUGUUCGUCGUGCCGAGCUGGAUCGUUGGUCCCUUCUUCAUUCGCCCGUGGUUUGUGGUUUGUGAGAUUGGCGCCGUUUGUGCUAUCCUCCGCCAGCGGAUGCAGCGCGAGAGCGAGGCGCGGGCAGAUCGGAAAUAGUGCACGAAUAGUACAGGGAGCGCCGCAAGCGAGCGGGAGAAGCGCGGCCCUCUGCUCAACACGACGGCAACCGGUCGCCGAGCUGUCGCUGGCAUCGCUGAGGUCAUCCAUGCCCCGAAGCCCACUUCCUCUUGAUCUCAGGUCGUCGUGCUCCUUAUCCCUUGAGCCGCCGACCCUGCUCGGCAGAUGCGAGGCGAGAUAAGGGGUGGUCGUCGUGCUCCUCUUCCGCGAGGUCGCCCAUGUCCAGGCCGUGGUCGAUACCGCCGUUGGCGCGCAGAAGAGGAGAGGAAUGGGCCGCCAGCACCUCCUUUCUUUCUCCACCUAGGUAAGGGAUCUAUGGACUAUCAAGAUAAUAUCCUUAGUUAUUUCAACAAGAAUGGUGUUACAAUAACAUUUCUCUUCAAGAGAAAUACAUUGCCGAUCUUUGUGUUGGCCAACAGCUAGAACAUAGACGAGAAGUAGUUGAAUGGAGCACACAAAUCUCACGUUCACUUACAAGAGGUAAAUAAAUUUACUCCAAUAGCUUUGCCCUGUCUCCUCACUUCAUAGGGUAUCAUGUUUUUUCCAGUCUUCAGGACUUGUAUUUUUUUGGGGGGAAUUUAAAUACUUGUGGUUAACUAGAUUUGUUUGCUUAUUCUACUAUUUCUUUUGAGAAAUGCCGUCUGGCAGGGUUUGUGAUGUUACCGGUGGUCUGAAGCUUUUGUAGAAGCAUUUGUGUGUCCUCGAGCUUAAGAGGAAUGAGUUCAACGAGUGGUGGUAGAAUUGUUUGAUCUGCUGUGGUAUUGCACUUUUGCUGAUCUGCUGCUGAACAAUGAUCCUUAACUUCAUUAGCUAUCGUGAUGCCCUUUUUGGAGGGUAGGUUUGGAGCUUGGGUCCACUUUUAUUUGUAUUUGCUAUUGUCUUUGGAGUUCUAAUUUUAGUAAAUGCACUGAGUUUGGAGCUCAUAAUUUUCUGAACGUUCACAUCGUUUAUAUUAUUUGUUUUUGCUGACCCGGAGCUGCGGACAAUGACAACAGCCAGCAGCGGCGCGUGUUUGCGUGUUUUCUUAUUUCCAAUCCGUUCAAUGUCAUAUGAACAUCAGUGAGGAUCAUCUCGAUUUCUUUGAGUGUAGGAUGCCUUGACAUGCAUGUGCAAUGACAGAAGCAACGCCAGGUCAGAGCUGCGUCUCAGCUUUUCAUUGGUCAGGAUCAUUUCUAUUUCUUUGUUGGUGACAGAAAUGAUUUUGCCAAGUAGCUUAGAAGUCUUAAAGAUAAGACAUUGCUUAUUACUAUAGUUUGUUCAUAUGGAAAGAUAGGAAGGGAUAGUACACGUUUUUUGUAAUAUUUCUUGGUGGAUUUACCAUUGAAAUAUGGAGUCAGACAAUUAUUCAGAUAUGUUUUCUUUACAUGUUCAGGUUAUACAGUUUAAACGUGUUAUGGUGUCUAACGUAUGGUGCCUGACGGGUGAUCACUUUCUUUAUACGAUAUUAUUGCCACUGUCUUGUCUCACAGUUUUGAUUAUUUAGCAUAGUCUUUACAACAUAUUUUCACGCGAUAUAUUUGCAGAGUUGCUCAUUCCAUUUUCUAUUUGUGUGCUCCUAAAUAUUUAAAUGUGUUUGUGAGUGGGUUUCAGUAUGCAGUCUUGCUCUGGACUGCUGCCAUGUUAGUAAGAGGAACAUGAGAAGUGAAGAGGAAUCAUGCGCCGUUGCAUCAUCGCCUAAAACGCCAACUCCAAGCAGAAAAGGUCGCCAUAUUCUAAAUCUCUCUUUCUUGUGUGCGUGUACAGAUUUGCUUACAUCGAGUAAAUCCGAGUGCAUUAUUUCUACUUUGAGUGCAUUUGCUGUCUAUUUUUCGUAUUUUGUUAGGUUGAGAAAUGAGUACUUUCUUGUUUAUUAUUGAAACAAAAAUAUAUACAUUCUCUGUUAAUUUGAACAUGAAUUUUUGUGCAUAUCUGUCCUCUCAUUUUGUGCAUAUCGGUCUUCCUAGCUAAAUCAUGGAACUCGCUCAACCAUUUGUGGUAGGUUUCAUUCCACGUGCACAUAUAGCAUCAUCAUUCCAAGAUUCAAAUGAAUUUUUUCAGCACUUUGCAGAAAAGGUUCUUAUGAUUGUGAAUGAAGCAAAAGCCAACUCCGAGUCAGUUGAAUCUGCAAAUGGAGAGCCUGAUCCUCACACAUAAAGGCGAUGCUGCAUUGAAGUUCAUUAGACAUAUAUGUAUUGUUCUUGCUCUGGAUCAGAAUGUUCAGCAUGUUAUUCUCGCAAAUAUCUAUUGAACCAUACUCAACGUAUGGCUACUUUUUCCGGGUGUAUUUUACUUCAUCUCUUUCGUUUGCAGCUACACCAGCACCUGUUCAAGAUAAUUGUGGUUAAGCUCUAAUUCA